CUGUGAUGUGUAUCACAUAAAAAUAAAGAUAUUUACAGGAGCAACCCAUGAAACUGAUUAACAAAGUUAUCGCUAUGUUCGAAAAAAUGAGUGUCUCAUUUGGUACCAUCAACGGUUAAUUAUUUCAUUAUUAAUCCGUAAAUCUUCACAAUAUUCUGGAUGAAAUUCAGUUGAUAGGUAAUGGUACUGAACCUCACGAAAGGUCAGCAGUCACGUAACAGCAUAAAUGUAAUUACUUGUUUCCGAAUUUGUUAUUAUUAGUCAAUAUAUCGUAUUUUGAUUUGUAUGAUCCUGAAUAUUUGCACUAA
rnacentral:ncRNA from 1 species